CUGCUUAAAACUAAGAACGAAAAAUAUUUGCAUAGCAAUACUAGGAACCACCUCCUUAGCCGGUCCAAUCUCCCUUGGACUGGCUUUUUC
ensembl:sRNA CyaR_RyeE CyaR/Rye RNA